GGGAAGAAAGAGAAGCUUGUGCAUGUGUUGUGAGAGCUUAAAAAUGGGGAUUAUGUUUGGCUAACUAGGUUAGCCUUUUAGGGCCUUACUAUGCUUGCAUGUGUGCUACAUUUAUGGGGGAGAAGAAUGAAGUAAUGAGGGAGAGAGAGAGAAGGGGGUGCGUGAGGGGAGAGAGAGACCGAGAGUGAGAGAGAUUGAGGGAGAAAGAGAGAGAUUGAGAGAGAGUCGAGAGUGAGAGAGAUUGAGGGAGAUUGAGAGAGAGUCGAGAGUGAGAGAGAUUGAGAGAGAUUGAGAGAGAUUG
rnacentral:lncRNA from 1 species